UCCCCUCUUCUUCUUCUUCUUCUCCGGAGCAACAAGGAGGAGACGCAGAGGAGGGGAGGAUACGGUCUUGCCACUAGCUGCAUUUCUACUCCUCUUGCAUUUGUCGUCUUCUAGUUCCACUGGCCACGAGCCUGCGCAGGGCUGAGAAGGGCGAUGGGGGCGGGGGAGGAGGAUGCGGCGGCGGCAUGGGAGAAGGUGGAGGCCAAGGAGGAGAGGAUCAUGGUGUCCGUGCGGGUGCGGCCGCUCAACGGCAGGGAGUCCGGCGACAGCUCCGACUGGGAGUGCAUCAGCCCCACCACCGUCAUGUUCCGCAGUAUCGUCCCUGACCGCGCCAUGUUCCCCACCGCCUACACCUACGACAGGGUGUUUGGCCCCAAUUGCUCUACCAGGCAGGUCUACGAGGAAGGAGCAAAAGAAGUUGCUCUAUCAGUUGUCAGUGGAAUCAACUCAAGCAUAUUUGCGUAUGGGCAGACAAGCAGCGGAAAGACUUACACAAUGACUGGAAUUACUGAGUACAGUGUCAUGGACAUCUAUGACUACAUAGAGAAGCACCCUGAAAGAGAAUUCAUGCUGAAAUUCUCGGCAAUAGAGAUAUACAAUGAAGCUGUGAGGGAUCUUCUGAGCCAUGAUACGACACCUCUUAGACUGCUUGAUGAUCCAGAGAAAGGGACUACUGUUGAAAAGCUCACUGAGGAAACAUUGAGGGACAAGGACCAUCUUAGGGAUCUUCUUGGAAUGUGUGAAGCUCAAAGAGAGAUUGGAGAAACGGCUUUGAACGAAGCGAGUUCUAGGUCCCAUCAAAUACUCAGGCUGACAAUCAAAAGUUCUGUUAAACAGUAUUUAGGAAGGGGCAAAUCAAGCACCCUGGUGUCAUGUGUGAACUUUGUUGACCUAGCUGGAAGUGAGCGAGCAUCUCAGACUGCUUCAGCUGGUAUGAGGUUAAAAGAAGGUAGUCAUAUUAAUCGAAGUCUGCUAACACUGGGAAAGGUUGUUCGCCAACUCAGCAAGGGAAGAAAUGGCCAUAUCCCUUACAGAGAUUCAAAGCUGACACGCAUAUUACAGUCCUCUUUGGGAGGCAAUGCAAGAACAGCCAUUGUCUGCACAAUGAGUCCUGCACACACUCAUAUUGAGCAAUCCAGGAACACACUUCUGUUUGCGACUUGCGCAAAGGAGGUAGUUACAAAUGCACAGGUCAAUGUAGUGAUGUCUGACAAAGCACUACUGAAGCAUCUACAAAGAGAGCUUGCAAGAUUAGAAAAUGAACUGAAAUUGCCGGAGUCAGCCUCUUGCACAAGUCAUGCUGAAGCUUUAAGAGAGAAGGAUGCACAGAUUAAAAAGCUGGAAAAACAGCUUAGGGAAUUGAUAGAAGAAAAGGAUACUGUUCAGUCUCAACUUAACUGUUUACUGAAAAGUGAUGCUGACGACCAUGCCAAUGAUCGCGCUGCAAAGCGAUGGGAUGUCCAUAGUCGGUCCUCAGAGUCUCUUGCGCGAAAUGCAUCCGAGGAAGCACUUUCGGUUUCAGACACUUAUGGAGGUUCUUAUCAAGAUCAAGGUCAUGCAGUGUUUGGUGAAUCAUAUGUCUUUAGUGCUGAUCAUGAUGACUUGUCAAUCCCCAAUCAAACAAUGGAUCUUCCUCAGCAAACAAAGGUUCGGAAGCCAAUUUCACCUUGGCACCCUCCUAGUAACUAUAGCUCUGAUGGCACAGAGUCAUAUAACAUGAAGGAAGUAGCUUUCAGAAGUGCAUCUGAAGUAUCUGAAGAAAAUUGUAGGGAAGUACAAUGUAUAGAGAUACAUGAGCAUAGAAGAAGCACAAGCAAGGAAUUUAACGUAUUACUCCAUGAGGUCACCAAGCUCCACAUACCUGAAGCAGAGGACAUCUCCAGAGACGCAGUCCCGCAACCUGAUGAAGUACCAGAAGCCGUCAGCAUAACAGAGAAAAUGGAAGAUCAUAUCAAGAUAUACCCUAGCAAAGAGGAGCGGCAGGCCGAGAUCAUAGCAAAUGCAGUAGAAGGUCCUAUUGAAGUGCAUCAAUGUGAAUCUGAUGACUUUGCAGACAACUUUGUCAAACUGUACCCAUGUGAUUCUAACAUUUCCUUGGACGUUGGCAAACCUUAUCCUCAUGAAUGUCUGACUGUAAAGAGGUGUAUAACGAGCUCCAAGGACAGUGCAUUGGCUAGAAGUCAGAGUUGCAGGGCUAGCUUCAUGAUCAUUCCAAAUAGUUGGUUUGAUGAUUCGGAAAACACCGGGCAGACACCACCUGGUGAAAUCUUCAGGUAUCCUCCCAGAAGGCCUGAUAAAGUUAGGAGAAGUCUGUACCAAGGAAAUGAUGAUUGCCAAAACAAUAACAAUUCAGUAGACCUCUCCGCUGAUUCUGGCGAAGUAGUUUGUGAUGAAGUAGUUAAGGACACAAGUAUCUGUGAUGAAAUAGUCAAGGACAUGAGCACCAGUGAUGAGGUAGUCAAGGACAUGAGCACGAGUGAUGAAGUAGUCAAGGACAUGAGCACCAGUGAUGAAGUGGUCAAGGACAUGAGCACCGGUGGUGAAGUAGCCAAGGAGUGGAGUGCCAAUGAAGCAGAACAAGAAGUUUGUGUCGGUGACAUCAGUUGUGUGACGGACCUGGAACAGAAGGCAGCAAAACACCAUGAGGACCAACCUGAGGAACAUCAGGCAGAGCAGCAGAUUGUUCGAGAUGAGUGUGCAGCAGUUAAAACUGUCAAAGAUGUUGGCAUAGAUGCAGUCCCGAGUAGUGCCGAGUCUCCUUCGCGCUGGCCUAUUGAUUUUGCAAAUAGGCAGCGAGAGAUCAUCGAGUUGUGGCACGACUGCAACGUGUCCCUGGUACACAGGACCUACUUCUUCCUCCUCUUCAAGGGAGAUGCCGCAGAUAGCGUCUACAUGGAAGUGGAGCACAGGAGACUGUCCUUCAUCCUGAGCUCGUUCAGCACCAGCUCCGCAGGAGGCGAGCUUAACUCCGCAACCGCAUCCAGCUUGAAGAAUAUGAAACGCGAGAGGGACAUGCUCUACAAGCAGAUGCUGAAGAAGCUCACCAACGGGGACAAGGAGGGCAUCUACGCCAGAUGGGGGAUCGAUCUGGGCUCCAAACAGCGGCGGCUUCAGCUAUCUCGCCUGGUAUGGGCGCGGGCUGACAUGGAGCAUGUUCGAGAGAGCGCCUCGCUGGUGGCGAGGCUGAUCGACCUGGUUGAGCCAGGGCAGGCUCUCAAGGAGAUGUUCGGCCUCAACUUCACGCUGGCUCCCAGAACCCAACGCCGGUCUUUCAGCCUGCUGGGCGCUUGAUCUUUGACGUAUGGAUGGAGGUAGAAUGGUUUGGUUUACGUAGUACAGGAGGUUCACUUAACAGGAGGAGAGGACUAUGCUCCGCCGCAUCAAUUCGUUUCACUCAUGUGUCUCUGCCUUGAUUUUGCUUGUGAAUUGUGUGUGUGUGUGUGUGCGCGCGCGAUAUUCCUGUGUGCAAUCUUACAAAAGUGAAUCAAUCAGACAGUACAGUUCUGACUA